CGCUAACGCGGAGCUAAUACCGCAUAUGUUCGCUCAUUCGGUUGGGCGAGUAAAGCAGCGAUGCGCUUAGGGAUGGGCCUGCGGCGGAUUAGGUAGUUGGUGGGGUAACGGCCUACCAAGCCGAUGAUCCGUAGGGGGCGUGAGAGCGUGGCCCCCCACACUGGCACUGAGACACGGGCCAGACUCCUACGGGAGGCAGCAGUGAGGAAUAUUGCACAAUGGGCGCAAGCCUGAUGCAGCAACGCCGCGUGAGGGACGAAGGCCUUCGGGUUGUAAACCUCUUUUCUGAGGGACGAGGAAGGACGGUACCUCAGGAAUAAGUCUCGGCUAACUACGUGCCAGCAGCCGCGGUAAAACGUAGGAGGCGAGCGUUAUCCGGAUUUACUGGGCGUAAAGCGCGCGCAGGUGGCUUCGUGAGUCGGACAUGAAAGCUCCUGGCUUAACUGGGAGAGGCUGUUCGAUACUGCGGGGCUUGAGGUUGGGAGAGGGACGCGGAAUUCCCGGUGUAGUGGUGGAAUGCGUAGAUAUCGGGAGGAACACCAGUGGCGCAAGCGGCGUCCUGGCCCACACCUGACGCUGAGGUGCGAAAGCGUGGGUAGCAAACAGGAUUAGAUACCCUGGUAGUCCACGCUGUAAACGAUGUCAACUGGGUGUCGGUAGUUUUACACUAUCGGUGCCGAAGCUAACGCG
rnacentral:rRNA from 1 species